rfam:Elusimicrobia bacterium GWA2_51_34 gwa2_scaffold_675, whole genome shotgun sequence.
GGGCGGGUGGCGGAACUGGCAGACGCGCACGGCUCAGGACCGUGUGGCCGUAAGGCCUUAUGGGUUCAACUCCCUUCCCGCCCA